UUGGAGGGCAAGUCUGGUGCCAGCAGCCGCGGUAAUUCCAGCUCCAAUAGCGUAUAUUAAAGUUGCUGCAGUUAAAAAGCUCGUAGUUGAAUUUCGGGACCAAUAUGUCGGUCGUGCCUCGGUACGUACUGGCAUCGUUGGUUUCUCCCUUCUGACGAACCAUGAUGUCAUUUAUUUGGUGUCGUGGGGAAUCAGGACUGUUACUUUGAAAAAAUUAGAGUGUUUAAAGCAGGCUCACGCUUGAAUACAUUAGCAUGGAAUAAUGAAAUAGGACGUUUGAUUCUAUUUUGUUGGUUUCUAGGAUCGACGUAAUGAUUAAUAGGGAUAGUUGGGGGCAUUAGUAUUCAAUUGUCAGAGGUGAAAUUCUUGGAUUUAUUGAAGACUAACUACUGCGAAAGCAUUUGCCAAGGAUGUUUUCAUUAAUCAAGAACGAAAGUUAGGGGAUCGAGGACGAUCAGAUACCGUCGUAGUCUUAACCAUAAACUAUGCCGACUAGGGAUCGGAUGAUGUUAAUUUUUUAAUGACUCAUUCGGCACCUUACGGGAAAC
rnacentral:rRNA from 1 species